rnacentral:rRNA from 1 species
GAUGAACGCUGACAGAAUGCUUAACACAUGCAAGUCUUUGGCGAAUCUGUGCUUGCACAGGCUAGCCAAGGCGGACGGGUGAGUAACGCGUAAAGAACUUGCCCUGCAGACAGGGAUAACAGACGGAAACGACUGAUAACACCUGAUACAGUUGCCGGCACGCAUGUGCCUGGCAAUGAAAAGAGAUGCUGCAGGAGAGCUUUGCGUCCUAUUAGCUCGUUGGUGAGGUGACGGCUCACCAAGGCGAUGAUAGGUAGCCGGCCUGAGAGGGUGAACGGCCACAAGGGGACUGAGAUACGGCCCUUACUCCUACGGGAGGCAGCAGUGGGGAAUAUUGGACAAUGGGGGCAACCCUGAUCCAGCAAUUCUGUGUGCACGAAGAAGGUUUUCGGAUUGUAAAGUGCUUUCAGCAGGGAAGAAGAAAGUGACGGUACCUGCAGAAGAAGCGACGGCUAAAUACGU